rnacentral:tRNA from 1 species
UGGAGUAUGGUGUAAUGGUAGCACUACAGAUUUUGGUUCUGUCAGACCUGGUUCGAGUCCGGGUACUCCAA